AUUAGCGGAUGACCUGUGGCUGGGGGUGAAAGGCCAAUCAAACCGGGAGAUAGCUGGUUCUCCCCGAAAGCUAUUUAGGUAGCGCCUCGUGAAUUCAUCUCCGGGGGUAGAGCACUGUUUCGGCUAGGGGGCCAUCCCGGCUUACCAACCCGAUGCAAACUGCGAAUACCGGAGAAUGUUAUCACGGGAGACACACGGCGGGUGCUAACGUCCGUCGUGAAGAGGGAAACAACCCAGACCGCCAGCUAAGGUCCCAAAGUCAUGGUUAAGUGGGAAACGAUGUGGGAAGGCCCAGACAGCCAGGAUGUUGGCUUAGAAGCAGCCAUCAUUUAAAGAAAGCGUAAUAGCUCACUGGUCGAGUCGGCCUGCGCGGAAGAUGUAACGGGGCUAAACCAUGCACCGAAGCUGCGGCAGCGACACUGUGUGUUGUUGGGUAGGGGAGCGUUCUGUAAGCCUGUGAAGGUGUGUCGUGAGGCAUGCUGGAGGUAUCAGAAGUGCGAAUGCUGACAUAAGUAACGAUAAAGCGGGUGAAAAGCCCGCUCGCCGGAAGACCAAGGGUUCCUGUCCAACGUUAAUCGGGGCAGGGUGAGUCGACCCCUAAGGCGAGGCCGAAAGGCGUAGUCGAUGGGAAACGGGUUAAUAUUCCCGUACUUGGUGUUACUGCGAAGGGGGGACGGAGAAGGCUAUGUUGGCCGGG
rnacentral:rRNA from 1 species